UACGUAGGGUGCGAGCGUUAAUCGGAAUUACUGGGCGUAAAGCGUGCGCAGGCGGUUCGUUGUGUCGGCGGUGAAAGCCCCGGGCUCAACCUGGGAAUGGCCGUUGAAACUGGCGAACUGGAGUGUGGCAGAGGGGGGUGGAAUUCCGCGUGUAGCAGUGAAAUGCGUAGAGAAUGCGGAGGAGCACCGAUGGCGAAGGCAGCCCCCUGGGCUGACACUGACGCUCAGGCACGAAAGCGUGGGGAGCAAACAGG
rnacentral:rRNA from 1 species